AAGUAUUUGCUUAGCCAGGUCACUAAUCGUCCUUGCUAUGGUUACAUCUGCCCCCCAAUUCUAAAUGGAAUUGAGAUAUCAAUCUUACUUUGAAAAAGUAGUUUUACAUGAGAAAUGUAGCAAUACAACCCCACAAACCUUAUAUUUGAUGUUGAUUUUAACACUUUAUCUUCCUUGAUUUGAGUUUGAUCAUGCACCCAAUAAUUCC
rnacentral:lncRNA from 1 species